UUAGAUUUUUUUCAUGCUUUAUGUAGUUCUUAUGCAUUUGAAAAAAGAAGUGGAGUACAAAUUUAAAGCAUCAUUCCCUUGGGAGCAGUGGCCUUAGAAAAUUUGCAUUUUCAUGUAUGCCUGCUUCCUGCUUAUUCUGAGAACAUCGGGAAGCUGAUAGCUGACAAAAUACAGGAGUCUGAAAGACUGAACUCCAGCAGAGAAGUGAACCUCACAUACUGCUUAGAAGUGGAAUCAUGUACUGCAUUUCAAUAGCUUUGUGAGAGAUUUGCUUCACUAGCUGAAAUACUUCUUUGAUACCCGGCUUCCCUCCCUGCAGUUGCUAUGGUUCCUAAUGCAACUGGAACAGAAACGCACUGUUAAAAAGAUUUGGCCCAAGGUGUGUUACAGCAGUCAGAUCUACAAUCCUGUUCCAGUCUUAAAAAUGCUUUUCCUUCCAUGAUUAGCCGAGUGUGAUGAGGAGUGACUGGCACUUCUUCCUCCACAGUGUCAUCUAUGGUGUUAUCGUCAUGAAGACUUAAAGCUUUCACCUGCUGCUCAGUAGAGCUUUUGGAGAACUUGUAAGGAGCAAUAUCUGUAGUGUACAGAUAACGUUACUCUGACCCUGAAAAUAUACAAGGUAGUGCUGACACUAAUAAAAGGUUAAAGAUGUAAAGUUGAAAACUCAACCCAGCUAAGUUGCAUGCAAGUAAAAUCAAUUAUCACAAGUCCAAUAAACUGCUUUUUUUUUUCCCUGUAACCAAGAAGCAUUAAGCCCCAUGAAAACACAGUGAAUCUCGGGUUUAGGAAGACUUGGUUGUAAGCCUUGUACAUUCUGGAUGGAUACAAGAUGGAAUGACAGAAUGAUAAUCCUUUCAUUGCUAAUUGGGGCAAUAUUUCCCAUCGUCCCUUCCUGAGAAGAGAAAUAAAGUGCUUUUGUAAUCCAGACAUCUUCUUCCAAUGCCAAGAGAAUGAAGAGAAUUUCCUGGGAUUUUUCCCACCAUUUCCAACAUGUUGGAAAAAGAGUUAGCAGAAAAAUGAGAUCCGUUUUUUUUUUUUUUUUUUCCUUUGUGUAUGUGAGGAAAGAGGAGGGCCUCCAUGUCCCACAUCAGGUGAAGAAAAGAAUGCAGAGAAUCUUCAAGAUUUCUUAGGCUUAAAAUAUGUAACAACAAAUUCUGGCACCUCUGGUGUAUAAAAGACAUUUUGGUGUCCAUAUUCUUGGAAUGUUCAGCAAAGGUGUUAGCUGAGAGGUAAAGAAACACAGUUGGGUUUUUACUUUUCAUGUGAAGAGUAUACAGAUGAAGGAGAAAUCAAAUUGGAAGCCAAGAAUUUCAAAAUAUGUACAAAUAUGGAGUGCAAGGAAAGGCUGCUCUUCUGAGAGGCUACACGGGCAGUUGAAAACUUUUAGAUAGAAGCCCGGUUAUGUGGUAUCUAUGUGGGCUCGCAUCUGUAGGCAAAACAAGCUUACAUCACUACAGGCUUAGAUCACUUAAGAGUUCUGUGUGGACAUGUCCUCUCACUCAGAUUCCUUCCUCCCAGUUCUAGUCAUGUACCUUGUGAGGUUAAACGCAGUGGCCUUACUUGUUCAUUCGAGGGAGAGAGGUAGAAUGGGCUUUUAGGGCUAUGGGAACAUGAUUAUUCCGUGUUCUGAGGCUGGAAUAAUCAAAUAGCAUGUUAGAGACUUUUCAAAAUGAUACGAGAAAUGGAUCUUUGUGAUGUAUGACAGUGUGUGAGAGAAACUGCAAAUAAAAAAUGGCUGGAUUUCUUAGAUAGUUAAGCAGGAGUUAUGGGAGAAAUGGCUGAAAGUCACAGGGGAUGGGAGGGGGAAGCACUGAAGAUCGUUAGAGGUGCCGAGUCUUGCCAGGCUGGCAGUACAUAUCAGUUGCAACUACUUGGUAAUGCUAUCACAUGUUCUGAAUUUGAGUAUGAAUGUGGCAAAACAGGUACCAAAGGGGAAAAGCUAGAGAUGGGUUGUGAGAGGAGAUUGGGUAGAGACAAGGAGACCCAAGAGUGGUGAAAAGGAGAGCACAGGAAUGACAGAAGGGAUAAGAUGCUGUUCAGGCUGUGUGGUGGAAGGUGGCCAGGAGUACCUGUCAGGUCACAGCAGACAGGGCAGGACAGUAGACUACACCCCUUGUCCUGACCAUAUCAUAAAUCAGACUUUUAUGUCACAGGGGAUUGGCUAAGGGAAGCAUCCUGUGUUUAAUCAUUAUUUCUCAAAGAUCUUUCUUAAUGUUUGCAGUCUAUUUAUUGAUAAUUUAUUUCUGCAAAUUUAGUACAAUGAAUUCUGUUGUAUUCAAUGACUGAAAGAUGUCUGCCUCUGUGAAAAAUUAUGCAUCUACUGGUCUUGCAUGGUAAUGCCAAAACCAUUCCUUUUUAGAUCCCCAUUACAAGUUUUUCUCCAAAGAAUGUAUUCUAUCUGCAUCUUCUAUAUUCAUCUAAUUCCUAUUCAUUUGCACUUUGUUUUACUGAAAUGCAAGUGUAGACUUUGCCCUUAACUAUUGCUCAUCUGCUUGUCUUCCUUUUAUCAGUGUGAAUAAAAGACUUAUUGAUACAUCAGAGUAAAUUAAGAAGCCUUUCUUUU